AUUGAACGCUGGCGGCAGGCCUAACACAUGCAAGUCGAGCGGAGCGGCGGACGCGUGCGUAUUGCCAAGGUAUCUGCCUGGGAGUGGGGGAGAACGUCCGGUAACGGGCGCUAAUACUGCAACCUAUCAGCAUAGCCUAGGUCGGAUUAGCUAGUUGGUGGGGUAAAGGCCUACCAAGGCGACGAUCCGUAACUGGUCUGAGAGGAUGAUCAGUCACACGGGAACUGAGACACGGUCCAGACUCCUACGGGAGGCAGCAGUGGGGAAUAUUGGACAAUGGGCGAAAGCCUGAUCCAGCCAUGCCGCGUGUGUGAAGAAGGUCUUCGGAUUGUAAAGCACUUUAAGUUGGGAGGCGUUACCAACAGAAUAAGCACCGGCUAACUUCGUGCCAGCAGCCGCGGUAAUAC
rnacentral:rRNA from 1 species